CUUCGGUGGAUAGGGAUGAGCAUGCGUCCUAUUAGCUAGUUGGUAGUGUAACGGACUACCAAGGCAACGAUAGGUAGGGGGCCUGAGAGGGUGAUCCCCCACACUGGUACUGAGACACGGACCAGACUCCUACGGGAGGCAGCAGUGAGGAAUAUUGGUCAAUGGACGAAAGUCUGAACCAGCCAUGCCGCGUGCAGGAUGACGGCCCUAUGGGUUGUAAACUGCUUUUAUAUGGGAAUAAACCCUCGGACGUGUCCGAGGCUGAAGGUACCAUAAGAAUAAGGACCGGCUAACUCCGUGCCAGCAGCCGCGGUAAUACGGAGGGUCCAAGCGUUAUCCGGAUUUAUUGGGUUUAAAGGGUCCGUAGGCGGGAUAUUAAGUCAGUGGNGAAAGCCNGCAGCUUAACUGUAGCACUGCCAUUGAUACUGGUAUUCUUGAGUAUAGUUGAAGUGGGCGGAAUAUGUCAUGUAGCGGUGAAAUGCAUAGAUAUGACAUA
rnacentral:rRNA from 1 species